ACUUGACCACCUACAUAUCUACUACUACACAUGAUUAUCGGCCCCUUUCCUUAGCCAUGCUUCUCUUCAAGAUUCAUUUACGUUUCUUUUAAUGGAAUGUUGUUUAUAUAUAAAAGUAAGUAAAUAAAUAAAGGUCCCGUACCAUUUUAAAUUCGUAUCUUCCUUAGAGUGGGCAGCUUCCAGAUCAGUCAAUAAUGAAUCCCCAUACCCACAAGUCAGAUAAGCAGGCAGCAGCUGCAACCUCCUACACUUCUGGCUGCAACCUCCUACACUUCUGGGUGGCGACAAAUUCCUACGAAGUCAGAUACCCACAAGUAUAUAUAUGUGUGUGUGGUGCAUAGAAUGAAAUAAAUCACACUCAAAAUGAGUAUAUUCAACGAUAGUAAAGAGUGGUAAUGGACACUUGAGCUAUGGUCAAAGUAGAGAUGGAGCAAAGUGAUCUAACUCAUCUUAAAUUAGAAGUGAGAUUAUUAUAAAUAAGUUUUGAGAAAAGAACGUCUCAAAAUCCUUAUAUCGAUUAGCAUAACACUGUCUUCGAUGCACAUCAUCGACUGACUGAGUCAAGCUGCCCACCUUCUACUUUCCUAAAACAAUCAAUGACAUUCUCCCAUUAUCA